GCCUGGUUGGCUCAGUGGUUGAGCAUCUGCCUUUGGCUCAGGGUGUAAUCGCGGGGUCCUGGGAUCGAGUCCUGCAUCAGGCU
rnacentral:tRNA from 1 species